GGAGGUAUAGCUCAGUGGUAGAGCACGUGCUUAGCAUACACAAUUCCCUAGGUUCAAUCCCCAGUACCACCA
rfam:Camelus ferus unplaced genomic scaffold scaffold954, whole genome shotgun sequence.